rnacentral:rRNA from 1 species
CAAGUCGAACGCAAAAGUUCCCUUCGGGGAGCGAGUAGAGUGGCGCACGGGUGAGUAACACGUAGGUAAUCUACCUUUGGAUUGGGAAUAACAACCGGAAACGGUUGCUAAUACCGAAUAAUGCAGCGGCACCUAAUGGUGACAGUUGUUAAAGCGGGGGAUCGCAAGACCUCGCGUCUGAAGAGGAGCCUGCGGCGGAUUAGCUAGUUGGUAAGGUAAUGGCUUACCAAGGCGAUGAUCCGUAGCCGGCCUGAGAGGGCGGUCGGCCACACUGACACUGACAUACGGGUCAGACUCUUACGGGAGGCAGCAGUCGGGAAUUUUGGGCAAUGGGCGAAAGCCUGACCCAGCAACGCCGCGUGAAGGAUGAAAUCCCUCGGGAUGUAAACUUCGCAAGAACGGGAAGAAUAAGUAGGAGCUAACAUCUCUUACGAUGACGGUACUGUUUGUAAGCUCCGGCUAACUCCGUGCCAGCAGCCGCGGUAAUACGGGGGGAGCAAGCGUUGUUCGGAUUUACUGGGCGUAAAGGGCGCGUAGGCGGCCACUGCAAGUCAGUUGUGAAAUCUCCGGGCUUAACCCGGAAAGGUCAACUGAUACUGCAGGGCUAGAGUGCAGAAGGGGCAACUGGAAUUCUCGGUGUAGCGGUGAAAUGCGUAGAUAUCGAGAGGAACACCUGCGGCGAAGGCGGGUUGCUGGGCUGACACUGACGCUGAUGUGCGAAAGCCAGGGGAGCGAACGGGAUUAGAUACCCCGGUAGUCCUGGCCUUAAACGAUGAAUGCUUGGUGUCUGGGGUUUUAUAGUCCCCGGGUGCCGUCGCUAACGCUUUAAGCAUUCCGCCUGGGGAGUACGGUCGCAAGACUGAAACUCAAAGGAAUUGACGGGGACCCGCACAACCGGUGGAGCAUGUGGUUUAAU